AUCAGGAAGUCUUGCUUUCUUUCAUAUUACACAUCAGGGUGGACAACAACAACAAUAUCAUGGUUAUGUUUAUGCUCGGAGUAGGGUAAGGAGUUGAACUCUAAGGAUAGGUUUGGCGAUGGAGUUUGGGUUACGAAUUCAAGUACUGAAAACACAGUUUUGGAUUAACACUGACCAAAUGCAUCACUGGGAACAACAAGGACACAAGGGAAGCAUCUCUCAUUGAACACAAACAAAGAUAUUUAGAUGGAGAUAUGAUGUCCACACAAUGCAGGUCAAAGGGGUCCAAACUUCCAAGCUCCAAAAGGCACAAAGUGAAAUUCAAGGACUCUCAAGUUCAAAGUUUGAAUGAGGCUGGGCGGAAUUUCAUCUCAGUGAAGGGAAUUGAGAAAUCUUUGCCUUUCCACCCUGUCCAGAUUACUCCCUGAGAGAGAUCAUAUGCACAUGAUAGAGACCUUAUAAUCAGCAUAU